ensembl:lncRNA
CACACGUGCGCUGAAGUGAACUAACAGGUUAUCUUUAGAGAGCAAGUUACUAUGGUUACUUACCUUGAAAGUAACCUCAGAUUUUGGAACUGAAAGCUGAGGUUAUCCGCUUGCUUAUCCUCAAACAUACCUGGUUAUGUCACAUAACCUGCUUUUUGGAACACCCCCCAGAUGUGUCUAGUAGUCUUGUUAACCCCUGUAUAUAUAGCCCUUGUGUUUCCUGUGUUCAUUGCUUUGUGGUCUUCCUCUGACAUAAUGCUGCUUUGACUAUCGGGAAGAAGCCUGCUGUGGAGCUCGCCUCAUGUGGAUUCAGAAGAAGUGGGCAUCAAGGGUGCAUGGCAGCCACAAAGGGGGCAUUCGCAAGCACCCUUCUGAAAGCUAAAACAGUGAAUGGGACACCUUACAUUCUCAUAGACUUAACAGACGUGCUUACAACGUGGCCAUUGUAAGUCCACAAGAGUGUAAUACACAUGAAGUGUGCCAUUUGGGAUUGGGCCAUAGUCUGGUGUUGUCCUUUAAUGGAUGUGACGUCAGAAACCACAUCACUUUCAGUUCAACAGUCAAGUAGGUUGGUGAAUGUGAACACAGAGCCUAAAGAAGUUGCCAGCAAUGUCCAAAGAGACCAGAAACAGAGUCCUCCAGAACUGCUGAAGACCUUUGAUGACUUGCCCAGUCUGCCAACAGACACACCUUUCAUCAGUUACCCUGUGACUAAAUCUCCAGGUAGCCUGAAAAUCCCUAAAGGCUAGGGUGUAGCUGGCACUGCUUCAUGAUUUCUAAGUUGUUUUGAGUUGUUUUAGUGUGUUGCUGUGUGUUUUCUAAGGUGUUCAGUGUGGUUACUAGGUACUGAAUGACCCAAUAAUUAAAUGACCCAGUGUGGUCCCAUCUGUGACACAUCUUUUUUUUUGCCUGUUUUAUCAUCCAAGUCAAAAAAUGCUCAGCCCACUUCAACAAGCCACUUUAGCCACUUGUUGCUGUCUACUUAUGAAUUGGCCAAGUAUAUGAUACAUUACCUAGUGUUUUAAAAUCUGUUCAGCUUGUCUGUUCAGUCAUGUAGUGUAUUAUCCAUGGGUAGCAAGGGCAUGUCCAGGUUUAAUCCAUGGCCCUUCACAACUGAUGGGUGGUGUGGGCAGAUAAGCUGCAAAAUAGGGUCAAUGAGGGUGCUCAUAAGCACCCUAAUGAAUAAUAAAAAGCAGAUUUAAUUGUGUUCA